rnacentral:rRNA from 1 species
UUGAUCUCAAAUCAGGUAGGACUACCCGCUGAACUUAAGCAUAUCAAUAAGCGGAGGAAAAGAAACUAACAAGGAUUCCCCUAGUAACUGCGAGUGAAGCGGGAAGAGCUCAAAUUUAAAAUCUGGCGUGCCUCUGGUCGUCCGAGUUGUAGUCUGGAGAAGCGUUUUCCGUGUUGGACCGUGUACAAGUCUCUUGGAACAGGGCGUCAUAGAGGGUGAGAAUCCCGUCUUUGACACGGACUACCAAUGCUUUGUGAUGCGCUCUCAAAGAGUCGAGUUGUUUGGGAAUGCAGCUCAAAAUGGGUGGUAAUUCCAUCUAAAGCUAAAUAUAGGCGAGAGACCGAUAGCGAACAAGUACCGUGAGGGAAAGAUGAAA